AGGAGAAAAUAGGUACUCCCUGUUAUAUCUAUGCAAAAUCGUUUUUUCCUCUACCAUUAUCACCGAAACACCUUCACCACCAUUACAGACCAGGCCUCCUUCAGCUUCAUCUUCUCCCACACAAACCACCACCAUCAACACUAUCGCCACCAUAAUCCCCAACACCACUUCCUUACUCUCUUCUUCGUCGAAUUGUUGUUGUUCCCCUCAAUUUUUUAUAUCCAAUUUAGUGCCCUAACCUAAUCGUAAAAACUUUUCUCAACUCUCCAUGUGAUUUUCCUUCACCAUUGAUUUUCUCUAACUCGAUAUUAUUCUUCAAUUGCAUGCCCCAAAUUGAUGUGUCCAUCUAUUUAUCUUUCUUUAUCCUUCACCGCCACCGUUACCCACCACCACUAAUAACAAGCAACUCUUUUACGUACAACAGGCAUGGAAGUGAAAUUGAAAAUUAGUAUGCAUUAAAAUUGGAUUUGUCAAAACUGGUCUUGCUACUAACUUCGAUUUCAAUUCAUACUAAUUUCGUUUUCGUAUAGCAUAUACAGCUUCGUAUCUCUAUCAAAUUUUAUGUUCCUCACCAUCUCCUUCAAAGAUAUUGGGUUAUAGAUAACCAGACGUAUGUGGUUGGUGAAGAUGUGAUGGGUGUUAUAGCAUCUCUACCAAGUCUGCACUAAAUGAAGUGAACCAACAGUCACCGGUGCAUGAUGCGUGACUCUCCAGUACCGCAAGUUUGACAAAAUUGUAGGCUCCAUGUAAACCCUAUUGGAUUGUUUAUAUUAAUUGGAUUUUUCUGGUUUCUGACUCAGUUUUGUUCUCACAAGGCAUGAUACUAGCCGCAGAUGUUAUAAAAAUGAAGGGGAAGGGUGCACUUGGUAGGAAAGUCAUUAAUUUUCAUUCAGGAAUUUAGUCGCUAAACACCUCUAUCCCGUUACACAUUUAAGUGCAUUUCUUCUUUUAUAAAAUCCCAAAGUAACUUUAUAGGUCUUUCCUUAUGAAUUGUUCUUUUUUUUUCAAGAAUCUUAGUUGACAAAAGAAUGCUUCGAAGAGCCACACUUUUGACAAUUUAGUUCGUAGAUUUAUACUUAAUACUUAAAGAUUAUAAAAAUGUUAUUCUUUUGACAAAAGAAUCCACCAGUAUAUGUUAAAAUUCUCUUAGUCUUGGACUUAAGGUACAAAGCAUCUGUAUUGGCUGUUUGUGGUUAUUAAUUACGAACCAAUAGUUUGCAUUGGUUCUUUACGUGUGUUUGUUAACUAUGUGCCAGAUGAUGAUUGAUGAAAUUUAUUUAUCUUGCACCUUUAAUUGUUCCAAUAGUUCUGCUGUCAUGGACAAAGAUGCUAAUUAUGUCAGUAAUGUUUAUGUUUACUCUCUUACAAGUUGUGUACUUUUAUAUGUGAAUACCUCUCUUUCAGUUUAUACUAGAUAUGAACCGCAAAGGAAUGAUCCUGAGAGAGUGUGGAAUGCCCAGGAAGCCUGAUUUUGCAUGAAGCUCUGUGGCGCAAAGGCAUGGUCCAAAGAUAUAGUGGAAUGCCCAGGAAACCUGAUAUUUUUUUAAUGAAGCUCUGUGGAGCUACCAUACACCUAAUCGCGUCCAUGAGGUUCUUGCUUCGCCAAGCCAUCAUCUACAUGUAUUCUUAUUCUUAACUUGGCAGUCGUGAUUUGCCAAUGCAUAUGUUUUAAGCCUUUAGUGCAAUAAUUAUGCACUAAAAAUGUAGCUGACAAGUAGAAAAUGAGUUGUCCUACUCUUAAGUCUUAAGAAGUUAUGCCACCAUCUACAGGUCGAAAAAUUAGUAUGGGUGAUUAUUGAAUUGCUAUUAAAGAAGUUGUUGCGA